ensembl:lincRNA
AUGGCUCCUACAAGGCAGUCUGCUGUAGAAGUGCCGUCUAGAGUGGCGGCUGAGAGCUGGUUUUAUAAUUUCUUAAAGCUGAAAAAAGGUGAAGCCCUCAAGAACAAAGAAAAAGGAGUAAAGAGUAACAAAACUGUAGAAAUUGGAAAGAAGAGGAACAAGAUGACUUACAAAAGUGGAGAAGGCAAUAUCCUACGCCAGCAAUGGAGAAAGCCAAGAAACAAUCUGAUUUAUUUAUUUAGCUCUUUUUUUUUUUUUUUUUUUUUUUUUUUUUUUCUCNNNNNNNNNNNNNNNNNNNNNNNNNNNNNNNNNNNNNNNNNNNNNNNNNNNNNNNNNNNNNNNNNNNNNNNNNNNNNNNNNNNNNNNNNNNNNNNNNNNNUUUUUGGUUUUGGUUUUUCUCCGGUACCAGGAACCGAACUCACGACCUUGCGCUUGCCAGGCAGGCACUUUUGCCGCUGAGCUAAACCCCCAGCCCCUAUUUAUUUAGCUCUUAAAAAGCGAGGAAUAGGUGGUACCAGAUGCCUCUGGAAAUUGGAAAUACAUAAAUGUUCAACUGUCUGUUUAUGAAGCAGCUGGAGCUCCUACAUACCUACUUCCACCCCACAAAACAGAUGGGUCAAGUUAUUCUAAAGUAAGGAAGUGGAAGGCAAAAUAUAGCAAAAUCCGCAUUUUUCUUACAAAGAAAUGAGCAGAUACUGAAAAUUAAAGAAAAAUUUAAAAACUGUAGCAGUAAUGUGGUUAUAAAUAUGGAGAUAAAGACUAAGAUCAGUAAGAGUUAAAGCAACAGUAAUAAGGAAAGGGGAUGGAGUGAUCUUUACUUUCCCCUAUAAGCCAUUCACCGUAUCUGUCUCUUUAAAUCAUAUGUAUAUAUGAUUUUGAUAUAAGUUGAAGUAAAAAGAAUAAUGAUAAUAAUAAAAAGAUACAUACUUCAUACUAUGUAGUAUGUUUAUUCUAUGGACCAUCUGUGAUAAAUGUAUAGGGCGUUACUCUCACAAAAAUAAUAUUAGUUCUCAUAAAAUAUAAAUUAUUCCACAUAUCUUUCAAACUAAUGCCAUUUGAACUAAUAAAUGACAAAACAAAUAUGAUAAAAAUUAUAACAUCCUGAUUUUCUAAUCUUAUAAAUAUAUGACUCAUGGUUACAUAAUUCUCAUUUAAUAUUUAUAAUGGUCACAAAAUAACCACUAGAAAAAAUUUUUUCAGCAACUAUUAUGUGCUAAAAGUAUAAUAAGCACUGCACUACAAAAUUAAAAAAAAAAUCUACAUUAAUGAGCUCAUAGUCUAAAGGAAUAGACUAAAAAUAAUUAAAAUAUAAUGUAUUAUGAUAAUUUAUUACAUUUAUCUAACUGCAUGCCAUUACUUUGGAUGGUACAGUAUAUUGAUUAAAAAGCUGAGGUCUAGAGUGAGACAGUUAAUAUGUAAGUUUCACAUCCAUCACUGGCUUAACUGUAUAAGUUUGGACAAAUUACAAAAUUGGCCUGACACAGAUUACGGUCUUCUGCCAGAAUCUAUUAAACAAUAAUAUGCUAACUCAGCUUAUAAGUGGUAUAAAAUCAAAUCUCAGACUUGACAAAAAUGAUAGCUCUAUAUCCAACUUUACCACUGUCAAUUGUCUAAAUACCCCAAAUAAAAGGCAAAGUGUAUCAUUGGGCUGGGGAUGUAGCUCAGUGAUAGAGCAGUUGCGUAGCACACAUAAGGUCUUAGGUUCAGUUCCCAAGACCAUGAAAAAAAAUCAAUAUUUAAACAAAAUGAAUAAAAAAGCAAAAUUCAACUAUACACUACCUACAAGGUGUUCCAUUUCAAAUCUAAUUUGAAAUGGUGUAUUACAUUACAGUGCCUGCCUGGCAAGCGCGACAUCGUGAGUUUGAUUCCCGGUACCGGGGGGGAAAAAAAAAGAACAGGUAUAUUGAAAUAUAAAAAUAUACAUUAUACAUGCAGUAUGCUUAAGACUUUACUGGCAAUGUUAACUUUAAAGAAAACAUCAAGAUGAGAAAUAAUAUGAGAAAUGGAAAGUGAUACUUUUUUAAAUAGAAAUGUUAAUUCAUCAGGAAAACACAAUCAUAUAUGCAUGUGUACCUAAUAACAGAACUUCAAAAUACAAGAAUUGAAACCUGCAGAAUGGAAAGGAGAAAAAAAAUUAUUUCAACUCUUCUCUCUCAGAAAUUGUAAAGCAACCCAAAACAAAAUCAGUAAAGACAGAGAACAUCUGAGGAAUACCUUAACUAACUAGACCUACUGGUAUUUACAGAAUACUAUACUCAACAUGUAAAACUGAGUGUACAUAAAUCAGAAAACACAAAUUAUAUCAAAACAAGAUACUGCUAUCUCUUCACCAAAAUGACUAAAAAUAGACUGACAAUGGCAACACUGGUAAGGAUACACGGCAACUGGGCACUCCAUAAAGUAAUACAGUCAUUCUGGAAAAAGAGUUGGCUGUUUCUAUAAAUUCAGACCUUUCCUUACCCUACAACCCAAAAAUUAUACUCCCACAUAUUUACCCAAGAGAAAUGAAAAUGUAAGUACAAAAAGAACUACAUACAAAUAUCUCUUAAAAUUUUAUUUGUAGCAACUCCAAAUUAGAAAAACUAAAUAGCCACUCUCAAACAAAGUGAAACAUAAUUCAGUUUAAGAGAACAAUCAUUGGCCAAAAACUAUCUGAUAUAUGACUCACUACAGAAAAUGUUUUCCCAUCUCUGGUCAAGAAUGAGCAAACUAUAUAUAGUUGUCUCUGGGUAUUUAAGAAUGAUUGAUCCAGGGUCAAAAUCUAUGGAUGCUCAAGUCAUUUACAUAAAAUGGCAUGGUAUUUGCAUAUAACCUAUGUA